rnacentral:rRNA from 1 species
GAUGAACGCUGGCGGCGUGCCUAAUACAUGCAAGUCGAGCGAACGGACGAGAAGCUUGCUUUUCUGAUGUUAGCGGCGGACGGGUGAGUAACACGUGGAUAACCUACCUAUAAGACUGGGAUAACUUCGGGAAACCGGAGCUAAUACCGGAUAAUAUUUUGAACCGCAUGGUUCAAAAGUGAAAGACGGUCUUGCUGUCACUUAUAGAUGGAUCCGCGCUGCAUUAGCUAGUUGGUAAGGUAACGGCUUACCAAGGCAACGAUGCAUAGCCGACCUGAGAGGGUGAUCGGCCACACUGGAACUGAGACACGGUCCAGACUCCUACGGGAGGCAGCAGUAGGGAAUCUUCCGCAAUGGGCGAAAGCCUGACGGAGCAACGCCGCGUGAGUGAUGAAGGUCUUCGGAUCGUAAAACUCUGUUAUUAGGGAAGAACAUAUGUGUAAGUAACUGUGCACAUCUUGACGGUACCUAAUCAGAAAGCCACGGCUAACUACGUGCCAGCAGCCGCGGUAAUACGUAGGUGGCAAGCGUUAUCCGGAAUUAUUGGGCGUAAAGCGCGCGUAGGCGGUUUUUUAAGUCUGAUGUGAAAGCCCACGGCUCAACCGUGGAGGGUCAUUGGAAACUGGAAAACUUGAGUGCAGAAGAGGAAAGUGGAAUUCCAUGUGUAGCGGUGAAAUGCGCAGAGAUAUGGAGGAACACCAGUGGCGAAGGCGACUUUCUGGUCUGUAACUGACGCUGAUGUGCGAAAGCGUGGGGAUCAAACAGGAUUAGAUACCCUGGUAGUCCACGCCGUAAACGAUGAGUGCUAAGUGUUAGGGGGUUUCCGCCCCUUAGUGCUGCAGCUAACGCAUUAAGCACUCCGCCUGGGGAGUACGACCGCAAGGUUGAAACUCAAAGGAAUUGACGGGGACCCGCACAAGCGGUGGAGCAUGUGGUUUAAUUCGAAGCAACGCGAAGAACCUUACCAAAUCUUGACAUCCUUUGACAACUCUAGAGAUAGAGCCUUCCCCUUCGGGGGACAAAGUGACUGGUGGUGCAUGGUUGUCGUCAGCUCGUGUCGUGAGAUGUUGGGUUAAGUCCCGCAACGAGCGCAACCCUUAAGCUUAGUUGCCAUCAUUAAGUUGGGCACUCUAAGUUGACUGCCGGUGACAAACCGGAGGAAGGUGGGGAUGACGUCAAAUCAUCAUGCCCCUUAUGAUUUGGGCUACACACGUGCUACAAUGGACAAUACAAAGGGCAGCGAAACCGCGAGGUCAAGCAAAUCCCAUAAAGUUGUUCUCAGUUCGGAUUGUAGUCUGCAACUCGACUACAUGAAGCUGGAAUCGCUAGUAAUCGUAGAUCAGCAUGCUACGGUGAAUACGUUCCCGGGUCU